AAUAUAAAUAUAUAUACACACACACACGCACACAAUGUGUUCAUGGUUGAAGGCAACACGUAGAAUGGAAUUACACUGGGCACCAUAUGGGGAUUAAAAUAAAACACAUGAUAACAUGACGAUAUUUUUUAAUCCAUUUAUUAUUAUAAUACAUAGAUUAUGUGGAGCAUCUGCCGUCCCAGUCCUCUGAAUGAGCUGUUACCAUAGAAACAAUAAUGUAUUAGGAAAGGUGCAUUAAUAUAAUCCUGUGAUUUGAAUUGUAGCCAGCAGUACUGUCAGAGCUGCACUGAUACAAAAUUGAUCAACACCUUCUGUCACCUGUCGAUGAUUUCUUCGAUUUGUUGGAUUAAAAGGCCGAUUUUUAUUUUCUGUAUUAAAAAAAAACAAUAAACAAAAACAAAAAAACAAACGUGUUAUUUCACAUUCUGCCCAAUGGACUGGGGGAAUGGACUUUGGACACGGAGGGAGGAAACCGGAGUACCCGGAGGAAACCCCCGCAGCACGGGGAGAACACGCAAACUCCGCACACACAGGACCGCGGUGGGAAUCGAACCCCCGACCCUGGAGGUGUCAGGCGAACGUGCUAACCACCAACAAUUAUUAGAGAUAGGUUAAGAACUUUCUUGCUAGUGCAAGACCCGGUUUCUUAAGAAACAGUACAGAAGCUGGAAACCAGUGAGUGUCGAUUUAACGUUUGAAAUGGAGAUGGGAUGGAACAAAAGGAUGCAGUAGCUUUUGAACAUUGUUUUGAAACAAAGAUUGGCUUAGGAUGAGAAAAAGAAAAAGCAGUCCAAAAUGUACACAGACAUGGGAACUGGUGUUUGCUCCAUAAGGAAAGUUGCCAGAGAAUGAGUAAGCUUGGCUGUCCUUACCGCAGCCUAGUGAAUCAUAUAUUGAGAAUCUUCUGGAAGAAAAUAUACUGCUCAGCAUCUCUAAACAAGUGCACCCUGAAGCCCUGAGCAAUACAGGAAAACCCAAAGUUUGGGAACACCUUGUCCUACUUUUUGAAAUCUCCUUAAUCCUUGAGUUUCAAUUACACAGAACACAUGUCAAUGCUGUGCACAAGACCUGUGGAGAAGAAGGAGGUAGUCUGUAAGGGAAUGGCCUGACAAGUCCCCCAACUUUAACUCAAUUGAGCUGCUCUAGGAGGAGUUGGAUCGAAAGGUUUGAGAGGGGUGUCACUUCACAGCUUCCUCUGGGAAAUCCUGCAAGGAUUUUGGAGAAAAAAAAAGAGGCUGUUUGUAAUUGUAUGAAGAAAAGAUGUGAGAUAGUUAAAUCUGCUAAGGAAGAUGUCAAGGAAUGUACAGUUCCAGCAACUGCUAACUAUGCUGUACACAUUCUCUGUCAACUUUUCCAAAUAGGCAAAGUGAAAAUGGGUCCGAGUUACCCAGGGGUGGACAAAUCAUAAAUGCAUUUGCUAGGCCAUCGGGCAUCUAAACGCUCCCAUGUUCUGACCAGGCCCACGUUUUAGUUGUGCCAGAAACCUUCUCUAUCUAAACUAAAUGUAAUGGUGAGCUAAUUACCUCAUCAAGUGCAUUCGUACAAACUAACAAACAGAUUUCUGAUCAUUAUCCUCUUCUAACAUUGUUUAUAACGUAGCACCCGGCAACAAAAAGUCAGCAAGUCCUCAUACUGACUGUAAAAGAUGGUAUUUGAGGCUCCUGAGUGGUGGAACAGUCAAGCAUUCACAUUAUACUCGGGAGAUCACGAGUUUGGUUGCCACAGCUAUAUGUUAACAAAAUUGGCCAUGGUCUCGGUCUCUGGGUUUGGAGAGAUACUGAGGGAUAAUGGGAUACUGUCUCUCCCUGUAAAUCACAGUCAUUCGGGAAGCAUAUGCAUGUGAAAGAGGGUGGAUAGCACUUUCCUCCGAGUGUGUUAUGCUGCCCUGUGAUGCAGCAAUUAGAAAAGAUGUGGUUGGCUGGCUGCAUGUGUCUUGGAGGAAGCAAAUACUAGUUGGUAGGUGUCAAGUGACAGGGGAGAGCUGGCUGGUGGGUGGGGACUGCCAAGUUACCAAUGUGACCAAAGACAGCACCAAAUUAAACCAAAUACCACUACUAAAUGUUUCGCUAUAUUAUAUUAUAUAUAUAUAUAAAAUAUAAGCAGGAUGCCAAAUCUGCUUACGAUUUGUCCAUCUUUAUAUCUCAAUUUGUUUUCAAGAUGAACAACCUACAAUUUGGUCUGAUUCACACUGUACCCAUUAGCAUGAGAGUGGGUACAUCUUGAUGAUUAGCUCAGAGGAACAAACAAAAAAAAAAAAUCAGAUUAUUAUUACACUGAGAGGAGGGAAAAAUCACUGAGGCAACAGUGUGUGUGUGUUGGCAGGGGUUGACUCUCAGUUCUCAGCUUUCCCCAGCAAAGCAACCCCAUUAUAAUUCCCCCUGGCCUAACAUAUCCGCACGGCUCGAGUUUCCUAGCUCUGCAACAAUCCAAAAAUCAAUGGCCACUCCAGUAGACUGCCUGCCUCUCAGUCUCAAUUAAUAAUACAAGCUAACACACCAGUGAUAUGGGUAGAGUUAGCUCUGAUCAACUCUCAUCAUCAAAAGAAGUUGAUGUACAAGUACUCAAGCCUUUCGGAGCACUAGACACAAGGAGGAAUAGCUCAACCAUUCUGAAGUGAUGAAGCAGUGAUGAAGAGGACUGUUGUAUCAUCCUGAUAAAAAAAAAAAAAAGAUAUAAAAAGAUAGAUGAAGAUGGAAAUCAACGUAAGCAUAUCUAGCAAAGCUAUGAGCAAGCCCUUCAACAUUCGUCAAGCCUCCUCGUGUGUGUGUGUGUGUGUGUGCGUGCAUGUACUUUGAUCGAUACAGAGCUCUGCAUUUGCUUUAUUCAUAUGCAAAGAAGACCCUCUCUUAUCACAGGCUCCUAGUCCACUGACACACUAAUAAUUCUCUGCCGAGCAUAAAUUCGGUUGCAUGGCAACCGGCAAUUACGAUUGCCUACUGGAGAACCUGCCAAAUAUUAUUUCCCCAUCCGAGUUUCCUAUUUAAGUCAUAUACUCCGUCACUUGAUCAAAUCACACAGCUGCUUAACAGGUAGAGCUCAGUUUUUCAUCAGUUGAACGCAGACCUCAGUAAUCUCUGCAGACCAAUAUACUUGGCUACAGGCCUAUCUUGUAAACAUAAAUAAAACAGAUGCACGCAGUCUAGUCAAAGCAGAAGUGUAGCAAUUGCUAUUUAGAGCAUCUUCAUGGCAGUGGUGGCUUGGCGGUUAAGGUUCUGGGUUAAGGAUCGGGGGCUCAAGCUCCAGCACUGCCAGGAUCUGGGUUACUGAUCAGAAGGUCGGGAGUUCAAGCCCCAGCACUGGCAGGCUCUGGGUUACUGAUCAGAAGGUCGGGGGUUCAAGCCCCAGCACUGGUGAGCUGCCGAUGUUGGGCCCUUGAACAAGACCCUUAACCCUCUCUGCUCCAGGGGCGCUGUACCAUGGCUGACCCUGCGCUCUGACCCCAACUUCCUAACAAGCUGGGCUAUGUGUAGAAAAGAAUUUCACUUUGCUCUAAUGUACAUGUGAUUAAUAACGACUCAUUAUAUGUUUAUAAGAGCAGAUCGUGCUGUUAUUACACUACUGUUAUAUUGCAAAAGUGACAGAAAUCACAAUUAAAAGCUUAAUUGUAAUAUUGGUGUUUAAUCAUCAGUCAGAUCAGUCAGAUUGUCAUAACCGUGCGAGGUUUUAUUCCAGUGGUGGUGGCGGACAUGAUGUCCAGGCAAUGCUGGGAUCAGCCAAGCAUCAAACUGGCAGAAUCUCUGAUGCUUAAUCACCCCUACAUGAGCUUGUCAGAAAGUGGGUUAAGCAUAACUGCUGGGAGGCACAAAGUUAGUUCUGGUUCAGUUUCCAUGCCCAAAGUCUGGUAAAAUUCUGCCCAGGCGUGGCCAGGCUCCAUGCAGCCAUUAAUGUUGCUCAGACAAGCCAGUAAUUAUUGGAUAUUUGACAGCAUCGUUGGAUAUUUGAAGGAGGCAUUGAUCUCUGGUGCAGUUACACUUAUAUUCAGACAGCUCAAAGUUUUUUUUUUCUGCAGUAUUGCUUUCUUUCUUUUUUUCCACUCAAGAAAAUGUCCCCAUUGAUUCAAGUAUUUAAGUGAGUAUUUAAGUGAGGUUGUUAAUGUUACCAUUGUAGAUGGUAAAAAUAUCAUGUUCACAAUAUGUAUCACAGUAUAUACUGAAGAUCUGCUAACAAACUGCCAGUGAAACAGUAGUGUGGCAUUUUUUUUUUCCUUUUCAAAAAAACAUGGAAAACUGAAUCAUUAUGUCCAACAAAGGGUGGUCCAGUUAUAUUUGUGUAUUAGUGCUUGGCCCCCGAUAAUCACUCUUUACAUCAAUAGAUUUAAAAUAAAAAAAUCACUGGAAUGUAGAGAAAGACAGACAGAUAGACAGACAGAUAGAUAGAUAGAUACCUAUACUGUAUUAUUAUUAUUAUUUAUUAUAUAUAUAAUAAUAAUAA
ensembl:lncRNA